rnacentral:rRNA from 1 species
AGAGUUUGAUCCUGGCUCAGAAUCAACGCUGGCGGCGCGCCUAACACAUGCAAGUCGAACGAGAAAGGGGAGCAAUCCCUGAGUACAGUGGCGUACGGGUGAGUAACACGUGGGUAAUCUACCUCUUUGAGUGGAAUAACCCUGGGAAACCGGGGCUAAUACCGCAUAAGCCUGAGAAGGGAAAGUCGCAAGACGCAGAGAGAGGAGCCCGCGGCCGAUUAGCUAGUUGGUGAGGUAAAAGCCCACCAAGGCAGAGAUCGGUAGCCGGCCUGAGAGGGCACACGGCCACACUGGCACUGAAACACGGGCCAGACUCCUACGGGAGGCAGCAGUGGGGAAUCUUGCACAAUGGGGGAAACCCUGAUGCAGCGACGCCGCGUGAGCGAUGAAGCCCUUCGGGGUGUAAAGCUCUUUCGGCAGGGAAGAUCAUGACGGUACCUGCAGAAGCAGCUGCGGCUAACUACGUGCCAGCAGCCGCGGUAAUACGUAGGCAGCAAGCGUUGUUCGGAGUUACUGGGCGUAAAGGGUGUGUAGGCGGUUAUUUAAGUUUGGUGUGAAAUCUCCCGGCUCAACCGGGAGGGUGCGCCGAAUACUGAGUGACUAGAGUGUGGGAGAGGAAAGUGGAAUUCCUGGUGUAGCGGUGAAAUGCGUAGAUAUCAGGAGGAACACCGGUGGUGUAGACGGCUUUCUGGACCAUAACUGACGCUGAGACACGAAAGCGUGGGUAGCAAACAGGAUUAGAUACCCCGGUAGUCC